rnacentral:rRNA from 1 species
UACGGAGGAUCCAAGCGUUAUCCGGAAUUACUGGGCGUAAAGAGUUGCGUAGGUGGCAUAGUAAGCGGGUAGUGAAAGCGUGUGGCUCAACCAUACUCACAUUAUCUGAACUGCUAAGCUUGAGGGCGAGAGAGGUUACUGGAACUUUCAGUGUAGGAGUGAAAUCCGCAGAUAUUGGAAGGAACACCGAUGGCGUAGGCAGGUAACUGGCUCGUCCCUGACACUAAGGCACGAAAGCGUGGGUAGCAAACGGG